rnacentral:rRNA from 1 species
CAAUAGCGUAUAUUUAAGUUGUUGCAGUUAAAAAGCUCGUAGUUGGAUUUCGGUUGAGAGCGGCCGGUCCGCCGCUUGGUGUGCACUGGCUGGUUUCAACUUCCUGUAGUAGAGGACGCGCUUUGGGCUUAACGGUCUGAACGUGGAGUCUACGUGGUUACUUUGAAAAAAUUAGAGUGUUCAAAGCGGGCUUACGCUUGAAUAUUUCAGCAUGGAAUAACACUAUAGGACUCCUGUCCUAUUUCGUUGGUCUCGGGACGGGAGUAAUGAUUAAGAGGAACAGUUGGGGGCAUUCGUAUUUCAUUGUCAGAGGUGAAAUUCUUGGAUUUAUGAAAGACGAACUUCUGCGAAAGCAUUUGCCAAGGAUGUUUUCAUUAA